rnacentral:rRNA from 1 species
GACGAACGCUGGCGGCGUGCCUAAUACAUGCAAGUCGAACGAACUCUGGUAUUGAUUGGUGCUUGCAUCAUGAUUUACAUUUGAGUGAGUGGCGAACUGGUGAGUAACACGUGGGAAACCUGCCCAGAAGCGGGGGAUAACACCUGGAAACAGAUGCUAAUACCGCAUAACAACUUGGACCGCAUGGUCCGAGCUUGAAAGAUGGCUUCGGCUAUCACUUUUGGAUGGUCCCGCGGCGUAUUAGCUAGAUGGUGGGGUAACGGCUCACCAUGGCAAUGAUACGUAGCCGACCUGAGAGGGUAAUCGGCCACAUUGGGACUGAGACACGGCCCAAACUCCUACGGGAGGCAGCAGUAGGGAAUCUUCCACAAUGGACGAAAGUCUGAUGGAGCAACGCCGCGUGAGUGAAGAAGGGUUUCGGCUCGUAAAGCUCUGUUGUUAAAGAAGAACAUAUCUGAGAGUAACUGUUCAGGUAUUGACGGUAUUUAACCAGAAAGCCACGGCUAACUACGUGCCAGCAGCCGCGGUAAUACGUAGGUGGCAAGCGUUGUCCGGAUUUAUUGGGCGUAAAGCGAGCGCAGGCGGUUUUUUAAGUCUGAUGUGAAAGCCUUCGGCUCAACCGAAGAAGUGCAUCGGAAACUGGGAAACUUGAGUGCAGAAGAGGACAGUGGAACUCCAUGUGUAGCGGUGAAAUGCGUAGAUAUAUGGAAGAACACCAGUGGCGAAGGCGGCUGUCUGGUCUGUAACUGACGCUGAGGCUCGAAAGUAUGGGUAGCAAACAGGAUUAGAUACCCUGGUAGUCCAUACCGUAAACGAUGAAUGCUAAGUGUUGGAGGGUUUCCGCCCUUCAGUGCUGCAGCUAACGCAUUAAGCAUUCCGCCUGGGGAGUACGGCCGCAAGGCUGAAACUCAAAGGAAUUGACGGGGGCCCGCACAAGCGGUGGAGCAUGUGGUUUAAUUCGAAGCUACGCGAAGAACCUUACCAGGUCUUGACAUACUAUGCAAAUCUAAGAGAUUAGACGUUCCCUUCGGGGACAUGGAUACAGGUGGUGCAUGGUUGUCGUCAGCUCGUGUCGUGAGAUGUUGGGUUAAGUCCCGCGACGAGCGCAACCCUUAUUAUCAGUUGCCAGCAUUAAGUUGGGCACUCUGGUGAGACUGCCGGUGACAAACCGGAGGAAGGUGGGGAUGACGUCAAAUCAUCAUGCCCCUUAUGACCUGGGCUACACACGUGCUACAAUGGAUGGUACAACGAGUUGCGAACUCGCGAGAGUAAGCUAAUCUCUUAAAGCCAUUCUCAGUUCGGAUUGUAGGCUGCAACUCGCCUACAUGAAGUCGGAAUCGCUAGUAAUCGCGGAUCAGCAUGCCGCGGUGAAUACGUUCCCGGGCCUUGUACACACCGCCCGUCACACCAUGAGAGUUUGUAACACCCAAAGUCGGUGGGGUAACCUUUUAGGAACCAGCCGCCUAAGGUGGGACAGAUGAUUAGGGUG